rnacentral:rRNA from 1 species
UGGGGAAUAUUGCGCAAUGGGCGAAAGCCUGACGCAGCAACGCCGCGUGGGGGAUGAAGGUUCUCGGAUUGUAAACCCCUUUCGACCGGAACGAAUCCCCUCCUGGUAAAUAAUCAGGAGGAUCGACGGUACCGGGAGAAGAAGCCACGGCUAACUCUGUGCCAGCAGCCGCGGUAAGACAGAGGUGGCGAGCGUUGUUCGGAUUUAUUGGGCGUAAAGCGUACGCAGGCGGUUUGGUAAGUCAGAGGUGAAAGCCCACAGCUUAACUGUGGCACUGCCUUUGAUACUGCCUUUCUAGAGUGCAUGAGGGGGAAGCGGAAUUCCGAGUGUAGAGGUGAAAUUCGUAGAUAUUCGGAGGAACACCGGUGGCGAAGGCGGCUUCCUGGCAUGUAACUGACGCUCAUGUACGAAAGCGUGGGUAGCAAACAGGAUUAGAUACCCUGGUAGUCCAUGCCCUAAACGAUGGGCACUAGGUGUGGGAGGUAUCGACCCCUUCCGUGCCGCAGCUAACGCAUUAAGUGCCCCGCCUGGGGAGUACGGCCGCAAGGUUG